GAUGAAGAACGUAGCGAAAUGCGAUAAGUAGUGUGAAUUGCAGAAUUCAGUGAAUCAUCGAAUCUUUGAACGCACAUUGCGCCUCCUGGUAUUCCGGGAGGCAUGCCUGUUCGAGCGUCAUCAAAAACCUCAGUCUCUGAUUUUAUCAUUGAUUGGUCCUGCAUCGGAUGCCUGUGCAUCCCCUGCGAAAUCCAAUGGCGAAGAGCCACGCAUCCAGAGCGUAGUAUUAAUAUCUCGUGAUGGACGUAUGAGUGCUUCCGCCGCAACCCCCAAUUCUUAGUUUUUGACCUCGGAUCAGGUAGGGAUACCCGCUGAACUUAAGCAUAUCAAUAAGCGGAGGA
rnacentral:misc_RNA from 1 species